GUACAAUUUGCAUGUCAACAGACCAGCUGACAGACCCCGUCAACGCUGAGAAAUGAGAGGAAGAAGACACAGUUAAGAAGGAGUCUGUACCGGCCCCCAAGCAAUGGAGACCAGAAUGGGGCCCCGUCCUGGGGAAGAAGGGUGUGUCUGCAGCAACUUGGAUGUUUCAUUCCACUCCUCUUUGUGCUCUUCUUCAUCUGCUGUCAGCCUAAGACAAUAGUUUCCCAAAGAAUGGAACUGGAUAUUGGAGAACUAUAUGGAAGCGUCAUUGUCUCCUCCAGUGAGUCAGAGGAAUGAGAGCUGAUCCAAAUUGUGUUGCACUGACCUGAGGGCUUGUUCAGAUCCAUCCACAAUGCAAAGAGCCACAGCUUCACGCAUAUAAAGUGCUCACCAGUGUUGAUUUCACAGUGAGAGAAUGAAGUAAAGACCGGAGGAUGUGUGGGGUAAUGUAGAUCAGAUGAAGAUUCAGAGAACCAUAUACCACAAUUCUGUAUUAAAGAUUAUUAAAAAGGCUGCUGUAACCUACAAAAUCAGUGCCUGCCAGGUAAUAUUUUUAUAUUAACCUUAUUUAAUAAGGAAAUCUCUCGAGAUACAUCAUCUAUUCACAAUCACAUGGUGUUGUUAUUUAGUUUUCAUCUACAUGUAAUGUUGGAAAUCUAUGGAGUCUGGAAUAAUUAAAGACUUUAACAGUAUUAAAUUAUA